ACGUAGGGUGCGAGCGUUAAUCGGAAUUACUGGGCGUAAAGGGUGCGUAGGCGGAUAUACAAGUUAGAUGUGAAAUACCUGAGCUUAACUUAGGAGGUGCAUUUAAGACUGUAUGUCUAGAGUUUGUCAGAGGGGGGUAGAAUUCCAAGUGUAGCAGUGAAAUGCGUAGAGAUUUGGAGGAAUACCGAUGGCGUAGGCAGCCCCCUGGGAUAGAACUGACGCUGAGGCACGAAAGCGUGGGUAGCAAACAGG
rnacentral:rRNA from 1 species